rnacentral:rRNA from 1 species
CACGUAGGGCGCAAGCGUUGUCCGGAAUUAUUGGGCGUAAAGAGCUCGUAGGCGGUCUGUUACGUCUGCUGUGAAAACCCGGGGCUUAACCCUGGGCUUGCAGUGGAUACGGGCAGACUAGAGGCAGGUAGGGGGAGAAGUGGAAUUCCCGGUGUAGCGGUGAAAUGCGCAGAUAUCGGGAGGAACACCGGUGGCGAAGGCGGUUCUCUGGGCCGUGACCCUGACGCUGAGGAGCGAAAGCGUGGGGAGCGAAACAGG